rnacentral:lncRNA from 1 species
CCGUCGUUGUGACUCUACUUGUGUGAUCUGUGAAACCCCCUCUACUGAGACAGGUAUCUCCAUCUGCCCCUGGAUGCUAAUAAUGGGUCAACAUAUCCAUCGAACUCAUCAUCAUCUCCUACUGGCGAGAACGAAGAGCACUGAUCAUAUGUAACAGGAGAUGUAAUAUGGCGAUGGGUGGUGUGACGUGGUCUGACGCCAGAACUACU